UGGAGAAUAUUGGACACUGGGGGGAACCCUGAUCCAGCCAUGCCGCGUGUGUGAAGAAGGCCUUAUGGUUGUAAAGCACUUUAAGCGAGGAGGAGGGUACUGGUAUUAAUACUACCAGGUACUGGACGUUACUCGCAGAAUAAGCUCCGGCUAACUCUGUGCCAGCAGCCGCGGUAAUACAGAGGGUGCGAGCGUUAAUCGGAUUUACUGGGCGUAAAGCGUGCGUAGGCGGCUAAUUGAGUCGGAUGUGAAAUCCCCGAGCUUAACUUGGGAAUUGCAUUCGAUACUGGUUAGCUAGAGUGUGGGAGAGGAUGGUAGAAUUCCAGGUGUAGCGGUGAAAUGCGUAGAGAUCUGGAUGAAUACCGAUGGCGAAGGCAGCCAUCUGGCCUAACACUGACGCUGAGGUACGAAAGCAUGGGGAGCAAACAGG
rnacentral:rRNA from 1 species